rnacentral:lncRNA from 1 species
UCUAAAGGCUUUCAAGUUGAACGCCAUCUUAUUAUAUUCUUCCCAAUGUUUCAGAUAUUAUGAUAAGGACUAAAGACAAUUGCUGCUGAUAUGUGUGAAUCACUGAUGUUUUAUGGAAUUUUUCUCUUGAGAUUUUGAGAUGUGAGGUAGCAGCAUGUUUUUCUUGAUAAUUUAGUGGUGUUAAUUGUUAUUUUCGAAAGAAAAAAGAAAAAUGAUGGUUCGGUUCGGUUACCGACCGAAACCGAUCGGUUUUGGUUGGUUCGGUUUUGGUCGGUUUUAGGCAUUUUGGCGGUUUGGUUCGGUCCGACUUCUAGGUAAGUCGGUUCGGUUUUGGUUUUAUAAAUCGGAUCGGUUCGGUUCGGUUUUGAACCGAUGCUCACCCCUAC